rnacentral:rRNA from 1 species
AGAGCGAACGCUGGCGGCAGGCCUAACACAUGCAAGUCGAGCGGGCGUAGCAAUACGUCAGCGGCAGACGGGUGAGUAACGCGUGGGAACGUACCUUUUGGUUCGGAACAACACAGGGAAACUUGUGCUAAUACCGGAUAAGCCCUUACGGGGAAAGAUUUAUCGCCGAAAGAUCGGCCCGCGUCUGAUUAGCUAGUUGGUGAGGUAAUGGCUCACCAAGGCGACGAUCAGUAGCUGGUCUGAGAGGAUGAUCAGCCACAUUGGGACUGAGACACGGCCCAAACUCCUACGGGAGGCAGCAGUGGGGAAUAUUGGACAAUGGGCGCAAGCCUGAUCCAGCCAUGCCGCGUGAGUGAUGAAGGCCCUAGGGUUGUAAAGCUCUUUUGUGCGGGAAGAUAAUGACGGUACCGCAAGAAUAAGCCCGGCUAACUUCGCGCCAGCAGCCGC